AUGAACGCUGGCGGCGUGCCUAAUACAUGCAAGUCGAGCGAACAGACGAGGAGCUUGCUCCUCUGACGUUAGCGGCGGACGGGUGAGUAACACGUGGAUAACCUACCUAUAAGACUGGGAUAACUUCGGGAAACCGGAGCUAAUACCGGAUAAUAUAUUGAACCGCAUGGUUCAAUAGUGAAAGACGGUUUUGCUGUCACUUAUAGAUGGAUCCGCGCCGCAUUAGCUAGUUGGUAAGGUAACGGCUUACCAAGGCGACGAUGCGUAGCCGACCUGAGAGGGUGAUCGGCCACACUGGAACUGAGACACGGUCCAGACUCCUACGGGAGGCAGCAGUAGGGAAUCUUCCGCAAUGGGCGAAAGCCUGACGGAGCAACGCCGCGUGAGUGAUGAAGGUCUUCGGAUCGUAAAACUCUGUUAUUAGGGAAGAACAAAUGUGUAAGUAACUAUGCACGUCUUGACGGUACCUAAUCACAAAGCCACGGCUAACUACGUG
rnacentral:rRNA from 1 species